UUGACCUCAAAUCGGGUGAGACUACCCGCUGAACUUAAGCAUAUCAAUAAGCGGAGGAAAAGAAACUAACAAGGAUUCCCCUAGUAACUGCGAGU
rnacentral:rRNA from 1 species